rfam:Capsicum annuum cultivar Zunla-1 chromosome 10, whole genome shotgun sequence
AUACCUUUCUCGGCCUUUUGAUUAAGAUCAAGUGUAGUAUUUGUUCUUAUCAGUUUAAUAUCGGAUAUAUGGGUCAUUGGUUCACACAAUAUUAACUCAGUUUUUUAAGGGGAAAGGUGUGGGGUUCAGCCCCAUAAGUGUCAUUUAAAAUUAGCCCAUGAAUUUAGGAAGAUGUUUUGAUUCCUUG